rnacentral:lncRNA from 1 species
GCAGGUUGUGAAGACCAUGGGAAAAGCACAGUAUCCGGGCUGGAGUGCACCAUUCCUCACGGCACAGUCCCUCACAGCUUCCCUUGGAUAGGGGUGGGAAUUCCUCGACCCCUUGGGCUUCAUGGGUGAGGCAAUGCCCCACCCUGCUUUGACUUGCACUUCCAUGGGCUGCACCCACUGUCCAACCAGUCCCAAUGAGAUGAACCAGGUACCUCAGUUGGAAAUGCAGAAAUCACCCGCCUUCUGCAUCGAUCUCGCUGGGAGCUACAGACCGGAGGUGUUCCAGCUAGAAGAUUUGGAUGAAAAGUGAUUCCAAAAAAAUGAGGCAAUCUCAUCCCGAAACUAUUUAAAACUACUCUCCUCUCUCUUGAUAAACCGUCAGUAGGAAGUGUGUCGUUUAUUCCCUCACUCCACACUGGAUUCAUAUGGGCUGAUAGCAGCAGGAUUAAAAAUUUUUUUCAUCAUGAGUUAAAUCCCUAAGAUUUAGAGUAUUUUGUUUGUCUGAAUGUCUAAGCGGUACAAACCUUAGCAAUCCAUAUUAAAAUGGAGAAUUCCUUCUUUUGGUAUUCACAAGCAUAACAUACAUAAUCCUUUA